rnacentral:rRNA from 1 species
GGAACGCGUAGGAACGUGUCCUGAGGUGGGGAAUAACCCUGGGAAACUGGGGCUAAUACCGCAUGGGAGCUGAGGCUCAAAGCCGAAAGGCGCCUUGGGAGCGGCCUGCGUCCGAUUAGGUAGUUGGUGGGGUAAUGGCCUACCAAGCCUGCGAUCGGUAGCUGGUCUGAGAGGACGACCAGCCACACUGGGACUGAGACACGGCCCAGACUCCUACGGGAGGCAGCAGUGGGGAAUAUUGGACAAUGGGCGCAAGCCUGAUCCAGCAAUGCCGCGUGUGUGAAGAAGGUCUUCGGAUUGUAAAGCACUUUCGGCGAGGACGAUGAUGACGGUACCCGCAGAAGAAGCUCCGGCUAACUUCGUGCCAGCAGCCGCGGUAAUACGAAGGGGGCUAGCGUUGCUCGGAAUUACUGGGCGUAAAGGGCGCGUAGGCGGCGCUACAAGUCAGGCGUGAAAUUCCUGGGCUUAACCUGGGGGCUGCGCUUGAGACUGUGGUGCUAGAGGAUGGAAGAGGGUCGUGGAAUUCCCAGUGUAGAGGUGAAAUUCGUAGAUAUUGGGAAGAACACCGGUGGCGAAGGCGGCGACCCGGUCCAUUACUGACGCUGAGGCG